GACGAACGCUGGCGGCGUGCUUAACACAUGCAAGUCGAACGGAAAGGCCCUGCUUUUGUGGGGUGCUCGAGUGGCGAACGGGUGAGUAACACGUGAGUAACCUGCCCUUGACUUUGGGAUAACUUCAGGAAACUGGGGCUAAUACCGGAUAGGAGCUCCUGCUGCAUGGUGGGGGUUGGAAAGUUUCGGCGGUUGGGGAUGGACUCGCGGCUUAUCAGCUUGUUGGUGGGGUAGUGGCUUACCAAGGCUUUGACGGGUAGCCGGCCUGAGAGGGUGACCGGCCACCUUGGGACUGAGAUACGGCCCAGACUCCUACGGGAGGCAGCAGUGGGGAAUAUUGCCCAGUGGGCGGAAGCCUGAUGCAGCAACGCCGCGUGCGGGAUGACGGCCUUCGGGUUGUAAACCGCUUUCGCCUGUGACGAAGCGUGAGUGACGGUAAUGGGUAAAGAAGCACCGGCUAACUACGUG
rnacentral:rRNA from 1 species